GAGUUUGAUCGUGGCUCAGGAUGAACGCUGGCGGCGUGCUUAACACAUGCAAGUCGAGCGAAGCGGUUUUAAUGAAGUUUUCGGAUGGAAUUGAAAUUGACUUAGCGGCGGACGGGUGAGUAACGCGUGGGUAACCUGCCUUACACUGGGGGAUAACAGUUAGAAAUGACUGCUAAUACCGCAUAAGCGCACAGGGCCGCAUGGCCUGGUGUGAAAAACUCCGGUGGUGUAAGAUGGACCCGCGUCUGAUUAGGUAGUUGGUGGGUAACGGCCCACCAAGCCGACGAUCAGUAGCCGACCUGAGAGGGUGACCGGCCACAUUGGGACUGAGACACGGCCCAAACUCCUACGGGAGGCAGCAGUGGGGAAUAUUGGACAAUGGGCGAAAGCCUGAUCCAGCGACGCCGCGUGAG
rnacentral:rRNA from 1 species